rnacentral:misc_RNA from 1 species
GAUGAAGAACGCAGCGAAAUGCGAUAAGUAAUGUGAAUUGCAGAAUUCAGUGAAUCAUCGAAUCUUUGAACGCACAUUGCGCCCCUUGGUAUUCCAUGGGGCAUGCCUGUUCGAGCGUCAUUUGUACCUUCAAGCUCUGCUUGGUGUUGGGUGUUUGUCUCGCCUCUGCGUGUAGACUCGCCUCAAAACAAUUGGCAGCCGGCGUAUUGAUUUCGGAGCGCAGUACAUCUCGCGCUUUGCACUCAUAACGACGACGUCCAAAAGUACAUUUUUACACUCUUGACCUCGGACCAGGUAGGGAUACCCGCUGAACUUAAGCAUAUCAAUAAGCGGAGGA